GAACUGGUACGGACAAGGGGAAU
rnacentral:ncRNA from 2 species